GGCCGCGGGAAUUCGAUUCAGGCUUAACACAUGCAAGUCGAACGGGAUCCAUCAAACUUGCUUGGUGGUGAGAGUGGCGAACGGGUGAGUAAUGCGUGACCGACCUGCCCCAUACACAGGAAUAGCUCCUGGAAACGGGUGGUAAUGCCGGAUGUUCCAGUUGAUCGCAUGGUCUUCUGGGAAAGCUUUCGCGGUAUGGGAUGGGGUCGCGUCCUAUCAGCUUGACGGCGGGGUAACGGCCCACCGUGGCUUCGACGGGUAGCCGGCCUGAGAGGGCGACCGGCCACAUUGGGACUGAGAUACGGCCCAGACUCCUUCGGGAGGCAGCAGUGGGGAAUAUUGCACAAUGAGGGCAAGCCUGAUGCAGCGACGCUGCGUGAGGG
rnacentral:rRNA from 1 species